GCGAACGACAUCAUCGGUUCUUCGAGCACGGAACCAGAUUCGAACGGACUAGUGUCACGCUCAAUCACCCUGCGUUUCCCGAUCGAACGGAAGGCGUCCCGAGGGAACAGUAUAGAGAUCCGUUGCGAAUCUGCCCUUCCCGGCGUGCCCAUACCCAAGCAGAUCACCUCUCUCAGCGUCCUCGUGAGGAAUCCCAACGAUCCGCAAGUCAUCAACAACCAAAAGUUGCACUGGUCGACAAAUGGUGUACCAAAGCGACCCCACCGUUCUUUUCACAUAGCCUGGACUCUGAUUUGGGUUGUGGUGGUGAAGUGGAGCAUAGCCAGGAUUCUCAAGUAAAUUAGUUGAAGUACCAGAUAUGUAUAUUAUAGGAAGACUCUUGAGUAUGUGAUGUGCCAAGAUUCAGGUUGAUCAGUGGAUAUUGAAUAUAUUAUUGAGUCAAAAAGUUGGAAAAUGAUUUGGAUUCAGCCACAUUUGUGAUAUUUCGAUUUCUAAUUGUUAUUUCGAUGAAGAAAGAUAUUUUGGGGUUACUAUUUUUGUCGAUAAAUGGAAAUAUUUUCUGAAAGAAUUCAAUCUCCAAUGUACUAAUUUUGGUAUAUUGAUUGUUAAUUCCAAAUUAAAACACUAAUGAUAAAGAUAUAGCCCAAAAUCUUUUUCUAGUGUCUAAUUCUUAAAACAGUUCUUGAGUAAUACUUUGAGCAGAUAUAAUUGAUAGUAGUUUUUUUUUAUUUUCGAAAUCAUACUUCUUGCCUUCUAAUUCUGAGUUAUGUUGGAUCAUUUUCAGGAAAAAGCUUCAUUCGUUAAAAAAGUUUCCUCAUUGAGAAAGGAACAAGUACUGAUAAAAUUCAAUUUGUCGAAUAUAUUGUUUUUGUGAAAGUUAUUUCACUAGACACAAGGAGUCUCUUUGACACGAUAAUCUUCACAAAAAUGCGACUUCAAUUUUUUAUUGAUGGAUAACAAUAAUAUGAUGGAUAAAUGAUGAGAAUAUGUUUAUAUUCUCAUGAUGAUAGCAUAGAGUCCAGGGGUAUUCAGAUUUGAAAACUCAACGGACUAUCAAAAUGAAUUGUUAAAAUUUAAUUUCAUACUUUCACCUGUUUUCAUUUUUAGGAAGUAUCUUCCAUUUCCAUGUCUUUUUCAGAGUUGUUUCAAAUUCCUCUGAAAUCUAUUGUUUUGGUUGCAUAUUGCAGAUAUUUUCAAAUGAAAGUACUUAUUUUCUUGAGAUAAAAGUAAGUGAGUUCAAAUAAGGGUGGAGUGAGGUGUCUGUUAAAAAAAAAUUAAUAUUCAGUCAUCAAUAUCUGUGUCUUGGCCCUUUUGAGGAAUGUUUUGAAGAACAAAUUCACUAAAUUAAUGUUUUUAAUAAGCGUAGAUGUAGGGAACUCGGUUUGCUCAUUUCCAUUGCAUUUGAUGGUAGUAUACUAAAAAUAACAAUGUCUCCAUUUAGAAACAAUCGCACUAUCAGAAAUAUCAUAUUUUCAAAUUCGUGAGUUACAAUAUAAUUUUUUUGAUUUAUGAUAUCAGAUUGCUUGAAAAAGUUAGUGAACUUCUGGAAAUUAUUAACGUUUCCAUAAUAAAAAAUUGGUGGACACCCCUUGUUUGGAAAUAUAAAACUAAUUUAUUCAAAUGAAAA